UAGGAGGAGCAGGGCUAGGCUUCCGAGAGAGACCAGGCCUGGGACACACUGACAGUGGAGCUUCCAGUGGACCCUCCAUGAGCAUUGCCGACAUGCUGCCUAAGUCGAAGACAGGUCCUGGAACUGACAGGCUAGCAGCAAUGAAAGCCGCCUUCAGGGCACAGUAUCAAAGUCAGUUCACAGCUUCCGAGGAUCACACGUGGGGAGCA